rnacentral:rRNA from 1 species
UACGAAGGGGGCUAGCGUUGUUCGGAAUUACUGGGCGUAAAGGGCGCGUAGGCGGCGUGUCAAGUCAGGCGUGAAAGCCCCGGGCUCAACCUGGGAACCGCGCUUGAGACUGGCAUGCUCGAGUUCGGGAGAGGAUGGUGGAAUUCCCAGUGUAGAGGUGAAAUUCGUAGAUAUUCGCAAGAACACCAGUGGCGAAGGCGGCUCACUGGUCCGGUACUGACGCUGAGGUGCGAAAGCGUGGGGAGCAAACAGG